UCACUGAGCUGAGAAGGGGCACACAGUGGCUGCAGCCAGGCGCUCUUGGCUGAGCUCUCCAGAAAGGAGCAGGUCCACACAGGUUCCAGCAGGUUCACCUGAGCUCUGCAAGCUACUGUGUUGAGGAUAACUGAGUGAAGAUGAGUAAACUGGAGAAAAACGAGGAGCGAUCAGCCGUUCCACCAUCCAACUGUGCGUCUCUGCAGAGUGACUGGUCCAGAGACUCCCCUCCUUACUUCCGAGAUGAGCCUGGACCCUCAGACACAAAGAGCUGUGACCAGUGCAUCACGUUAUACUCAAACCAGUGUGGUUCAUUAGCAGACUCAUGUCCCCAGUGUGGAGAAAGGCUGAGAACAAAACCUGGACUUCAUACCGACAGUCAGACCAUCUUCGUGCAAAAUGCUGCUCUGCAUGAGAUUUUAACUGAACAUAAGAUUAGUCUGAGG